AGUCCUCCGUCACCUCCUCACUGCGCCCUCCAACCUCACCACGGCCCCCACCACCGCUCCAGCACCGUGCAGCCACAGCCGCCGACACCGCCUCUCCUCAGCUGCCACCAAGAUGACCGCAUCCCCCUCGCAGGUGCGCCAGAACUACCACCAGGACUCAGAGGCUACCAUCAACCGCCAGACCAACCUGGAGCUCUACACCUCUUACGUCUACCUGUCUAUGUCUUACUACUUUAAUCUUGAUGAUGUGGCUUUGAAGAACUUUGCCAAAUACUUUCUUCACCAGUCUCAUGAGGAGAGGGAACAUGAAAAGAAACUGAUGAAGAUGCAGAAUCAACAAGGUGGCCAAAUCUUCCUUCAGGGUAUCAGGAAACCAGACCAUGAUGACUGGGAGAGCGGACUGAAUGUGAUAGAGUGUGCAUUAUCUUUGGAAAAAAAUGUGAAUCAGUCACUACUGGAACUGCACUGACAAAAAUGACCCCCAUUUGUGUGACUUCAUUGAGACACAUUACCUGAAUGAGCAGGUGAAAUCCAUCAAAGAACUGGAUGACCACAUGACCAACAUGCACAAGAUGGGAGCACCAGAAUCUGGCUUGGCAGAAUAUCUCUUUGACAAGCACACCCUGGGAGACAGUGAUAAUGAAAGCUAAGCCUUAAGCUAAUUUCCCCAUUGCCACGGGGUGACUUCCCUGGUCACCAAGGCAAUGCAUGAAUGUUGAGGUUUCCUUUACCUUUUCUAUAAGUUGUACCAAAACAUCCACUUAAGUUUUUUGAUUUGUACCAUUCCUUCAAAUAAAGAAAUUUGGUACC